GAAGAGCUGUGUGCUCCCCCUGCCCACGAGCUCUGUCACUGUGGGAAUAUUACCUGGGCAUCAGCUUCCUCAUCUGCAAAUGGCAACCAAGCUUGUUCUGUAUGGCAAUGACGGACCCAACAGAGUCUGCAACUUGGGCAGGCACAGACCUUGUCGUCUGAGUAGUCAUCUCCCAGGGGAUUGUGGGUAAGAUGCCACCAUGACUUCCUUUCCCAAGCCUUGGGAAAUGGCUGCUCUAUUUCCAGCCUCUGCACAUGGCUAUCUUAGAGCAAGCAUCAUGGCCUUCAAGGCUGCCUGCUGCUUCAUCUCAUCCGACAACCUCUACCUUACACAUCGCCCGGGCGCCAUCUCAGGACCGUGUGCUUGGCAGUUCCAAGCCUGCACUUCUCGGACAGCUACAUUUCACCUUCCAGGUUACCUUCUUAAAGGAGCCUGGAUCACUGCCGCCCACUUCAAUCUUCACCUGAGGCAUAUGCUAUUUCUUCAUUACCAUUUGUUACAAUUUAGCUUCAUAUAUUAUUUGUUUUUUAUGGGUCUCUCCCAUCAAUUUCCUGCCUUGUUGGGACAGGGUCACUUUCUGCUUCAUGUAUAACUAAAUGGUCAAUAUCUACAAUAAGAGGUUUCCAAUCAGCAUUUUCUUUUCUUUUUUUGGUAGGGGACAAUGCUCCAGGGCUUCACAAAUGCCAGGCUGGCACU